ACAAUACAUAAACAUAUUAGACUGUUCAUGACACGUAUCACGGUGGACUGUCUGUGUCCUUAUUACAAGCAGCGAGAGGAAUUAACUAUGCUUGUCACCACACACACGUGUGCACAGAUGCACGACAUACAUAUAGUUGAGACCAACAGAUGGAUCAACUAGAGGUCGCCCCAUAUGGUGAAAAAUUUAUUGGAGAUAAACAUCAAUAUAACUUGGCCAUAGCUUGAAGCAUAGCAACAUAUGCCUAUGAAUGGUAUUCAUGCUAUCGUUUUAGGGUUGUCCUUCUUCCAUCCUAGCAGCAACUGUCAAAUUGAGAUAUGGAAAUCCCAUUAGCGCAUGAGUUAAUUUUGCAAUGGAAAUAGAGUACAAGAUGUCUUCAUGAUGUAAGUAAUAUGCCUGAAGUUGUGAGAUGGGAAGUGAGGUCAACAAAUUACUUUAACGGAAAUGCAUGGAAGGCCACACAUACGUAUUGGUCCACGAUAUGCUACAAAGCUUGUAUGUACAUAUAACAAAUUAAAUGCAUUGAAUAGAGUGAGAUUAGUGAACUUACCAGGAUCGAACGGACCACAACCUCGGCCACAGCAGGUGAUCUCGCAGACUGCGUCGAAGACACCCACAGCAGUACAAGCAGAACAACAUUUUUUUGCCUGUUGGGAUUCGCAGCAGCCGCACUGUGCCGCGGUGGCCGGGUUAACAUUGAGGCUCAAGAUGACCAGGCACAUGAUCACCAUCAAAGCAGUAGUACCCUUUCCCUCCAUUGCCUCCUCUUGCUGCUACCUUCCUUGGUUACCUAGCUAAGUUUAUUGGUUUUGUGUUGAGAGGUGAUUCUUGAAUGGACGUUGCCGGCUGCAAUUUAUAGGCAGCUGCGCUAUGUGAUGAUAUGGACAAGGUGCAAAUGGAUGCUUGACAUUCGCAUCAAACAAAGCCCAAUGGCAACUGCUGACACGCAAUUAAUUUCAGAUCCACAUCCAGCCAUUGACUUGUAAUUAAACUAAGCCCACGCGGUCCGCGAGAUGCAGCGUCCGUAGCACAAUAGGCAAAAUUAGAAUUCAGAGAUAGUAGUGUGGGACAUUUAAUUCCUGCGCAAGCGCAGACGACGGUGCCAGCAGCUGCUACCAUGAAACACGGUUACAUAAUUUGAAAAUAAUACAUAAUUAAAAACUAAUACAUAAUUUGACACGGUGUACCUCGAGAACGUUUUGAAAAUGUACUCUCGUUAGGCGUUCACCUCCUUAACAAUAACUGCGACUGUAAAAUAGGUACAUCGACGCUAGCUAAAUAAACCACUAUAAGAUUUAGCAAGAGAUCAUUUUAUACAAUUCUGUAACGAAAGAAUUUGACAAUUAUAGUGUCCAUAUAUUUUGACAAAAACGUCUAAAUUAUAUAAGGAGGUGGGCCCGAAACAGUUGGAUUAGCAUAUGGUUACCCGUUUGUUGUCUUCCGGCCCUAAAAAAGGGACCAUCUUACUGAAAAAGGUUCUAUUAGGCCAUGCAGCCGCUCUGUGGUACCAAAAAGAAAUUUUUGACACGGUUUUACAUCGAGAACAUUUUGAAACUAGACUUUGGUACGCAGUUCACCUGCUUAACAAUAACGGCGUACAUAGACGCUAUCUAAAUUAACCACUUUAAGAUUUAGCGAGAGAUCUAUUUUUUUAAUCCCGUAUAAUCGCGUAGCGACUGUAAGAAGGACUGAAAAAUAAGUUUGAUUACCAUAACUCGUUAAUGGAAUAAACGAUAGAGAUUUCAGCGAGGCAGACUAGCCUUUCACACAGCAGCUCUGCACGCACCAACUGAGCUAGUUGGCAUGAUGUAUUUGCUCUUACUCCCUUGGUCCCAUGUAAUUAUCAGUUAUACUUAUGGGAUACUUAGAUGACUUGAUGUAUGAAUCAAGAAAAUGCAUCUCAAUAAUUUAGAGACCAUGCGCACAUGCAUGGGACAAUAAUAUAGUGUGGAAGGUGUGCGUGAGGAUCGUUAUCUAUAUCGUGUGUUAGAAAAAGAUUGCAUAUAUAGUGCCAUCAUUCAAUAUAAUUAAUUGCGUGCAUGUCAUCGUUACAAGAUUUCUAACAUUUCCCAACACUUCUCUUACAAAUGCCCAGUGGGUUUUAGCAAAAUUUGGAUAACUAGUAGCUACAUGACUGUGGGAAAUGAUCAUAUUCGGAGUUAUAUUGUUACUGAUUUGAUAAACUGUUAAAAAAAUGCAAAUUGUAUGAGAAAAAUUGUCAGGCAUUAUUUGAGAAGUUAGCUUAUAGCACGUACACUUUGCAAGAUGACAGUAUACUUAGAAGGAUGACGGUAUGGAUCUGUGGCAUGGGGAAGGUAGCUAGGUGGAGAAAUAGAGAUAUCACGAGGCAGCGGUGGUACUACGUGGAGAGUGUAGUUAAUGUUUGUCUUUCUUCGGAUAGCACGUUAGCUGACCAUUGACAACGUGUGAUGAUUUUACUAACAUCAAAAUUAGGCAUGCCCCCUUUUUUUAAUUGGUGCUCAUAGAGGCAUGAGUGGGAGGUUUUGGUGGGUGAGCGUUGGUGUGCAACUCGUGUGCGUGAGCAUGUGUGCAUAAGAUAAUGUGUUUUGUUAGAAAAAGAAGAUAAUGCCUGCAAACAAUCCAGAAUAGAAGGCGGGCCCCGACGACAAGAUAAUGCCUUACGUGGCGAUGUCUCAACUUGUCACCUGGGGCGGCUUUUGCAGUUUCCCCAUACACACACUAAGAGCCUCCGACCCUUUUUCAUCAAACCUUCCCAUGUAGUCAUGCAUAUAUCCAUGAUGAUUUGAGUCUACUGAUUGAUACCUAGAUGUUUUGCUUGUUUGUGAGAAUUUUUAGUUUCUUUCUUUUUAGAGUGUCCACCUAAGAUCCUAGGUGGCUUCACCUGAAAGCUUCGAAAGAAGCGUCCAAAUUUAAUCAUAAGAUUUUCUCAAAAGAGACUUAAUUCUACCACUAUAACUUGAUUGGCUGCCCCAGCCUCACUACCGGAAACAGGAAAUAUGCCGAGUGUUUUUCCUUUGCCGAGUGCAUUCCAUCGGGCACUCGGCAAAGGAGGCAUUUGCCGAGUGUCUCCAUGGAAACACUCAGCAUAUACAUUACACUCGGCAUAAAACCUAGUUGCCGAGUGUCAGAGAUAGAACACUCGGCAACAAUAAACACGACACUUGGCAAAGACCUGACACUCGGCAACUAUCCAACACGUGACUGGCACGUGCGACGUCCGUCAGAUGACGUGCUGGCCAUUAGAACUUUGCCGAGUGUCAUUAACGGACACUCGGCAAAGCUAAGGUUUGCCGAGUGUUUUCGUGAAGCACUCGGCAAAGUUUAGGUUUGCUGAGUGUCGGGGAUACAUCCCCAGUACCCGCAAGGAAGGAAGAAGUCAGACUCCUACUAGGAAUUCCCUGUAAUCCGACUAGGACUAGUCCCGUGUACUCCUACUAGGACUCCUCCUUGUAAUCCGACUAGUACUCUGCCCCCUGGAGUAUAUAAAGGAGGGCAGGGGUACCUAGCUCGGCAGGUCAUACCUCAACACCCAAGCUCAGGACACACGAGAACAACUCCAGUUCAUCAAAUACAAACCAACAUACAGGACGUAGGGUAUUACGCGAUCUAGCGGCCCGAACCUGUCUAAAUCGUGUUCCUUGCGUCACCAUUGAUUCCUUGAUUCUCGACGACCCUUACCGCACAAAAGACCACCUAGGGUACCCCCUAGGCAGGUUGCCGGUCUAAAACACCGACACUGAGUGUUUUUUGGAGGCACUCGGCAAAGUUAAAACUCUUUUUCUCUUUUGCCCUCCAAACUUUUUCUACUCCCCACAUACAACAUGUGGUACUACAUGUUAAAAGUUGGUAUAUUUCCCGGUCCGUUUCCUAUAUUUAAUUAAUUAAUUUCAUUUAGAGGAAUUUUUUUGUUUAAGUCAAAUUUGAACCCCACAUGAUUCAAAUAAUGGAAUAAAAUGAGUGGAAAAAUAAUAUUCAUGUUAUUGAGUCCGGAUUGAAGCCUUAUCCAAGAAAUGAAAAGGAAUUUCGAACAUCUUGUUCAGUAAACAUGACCACGAAUGUGUGGCCGAAUGGUUUUUAAAUUCUAACAAACAAACAAACUCUGAAAAUCACGAGAUUUGCCAAGAUCUCAUGAUAUCAUAUGUGGAGGCUGUGGUAAAAAGUUGAGAAGGUUGUGCACAAUUUAUCACGUACGAUGCUUACAAACCGAAGCAUCUCCGAAGAAGAAUCAACGAGUUGAGAAGGAUCUUUUAAGAUUUGGAGUCAAAGUGAUGGUCGAAUUAGGGUUUGACUUCAAACCUUUUUGUAUAGGCAAUAGACAACAUAGAUUGGUUCAUGUCAAAUUUUGGGAAUUUUUCGGAUUCGUUUGAUAAUUUUUAUUUAUUAACUGCAAUUAUAGAAUUUUAAUUGAUAUAAGUUCAAUUUGAGCUAUAACUCCAUGAAAUAAUGGAAUAAUAUUUGUAGAAAAAUCAAAUAUGUAUUGUUGAGUGAAUUUGACAAGAUUUUUGCAAAGUACAUCGGAAAAAAUUUGGUAAAGCACGUUAUGGAAGUUAUACAUACAUGAAAUAUGAAUCCACUUUGCCGAGUGUUUUCGUGAAGCACUCGGCAAAGUUUAGGUUUGCCGAGUGUUUACUAAGCAACACUCGGCAAACUACGUCUAGAGGCCCACUGUUAGACGAGUGUACCAUUUCAAAAUUGUAAAAAUAAAAAUAAAAAAAGAGAGUUUGCCGAGUGCCCGCGAUCUGGCACUCGGCAUACCUUUACUUUGCCGAGUGCCAGAUCGCGGGUACUCGGAAAACCUCCUGACUUAACCACCCGGUCUGCCGCACUCGAACCUCACGCGCACACACCGAAACACUUACCGCUGCACCCCUGUGCACCCGCCGCCGCCACCGUCGGACACCCCCGUCGCCCUAGCGCCCCGCCCCUAGCGCAGCCGCCGCCCCCGGCACCCCACCUGCCGCCCCCGAUGCCCCACGGCCGGUGCCUCGCCCGACAGCCCGCCCCCGGCGUGGCCGUCGCCGCCGGACGCCCCCUCGCCCCUCCCGGUAAUCCUCCAAUCUAUGUUGUUCAAGUUAGAAAAUAGAAAUUAGAAAUUAGACAAGAAAUUAGAAAUUAGAAAAGGAGAAAAAUUAGAAGUGGUAGGAUAGAGAGGUGGUAGGGCUUUUUUUUAGAAAUUAGAAAAUGAUGAAUGAUUUAUGGUGAUAUCAAAUUUCACUAAUUUGAAUGUUGUUGAAGUUUAACCAUGAACUAUUUGCUUUCUUGUCAAAUUUUUGAAUCCAUGUCAAUAUCCAUAUUUCACUACUUGGAAUCAACAAGUUUAAAUCCAUAACCUAUCAUUCUUCUGAAGAAAAUAUGGUUGUUUUGCAAGGUCCUCCCUACCCCAUCUUGCCGCCAUCAUCCGCCAUCCCCUCCCGCCGUCCCACACCUUCGAGUUGCCGGCCGUCGUUUUGCAAGGUAUAAGAGCUAUAUGUGGUUGUCGGCCAUCGUGCCAUUCCGUUGGUGUGGAUGUGGUUAUCGACCAUCGUGCCAUUUUAUUUGAUGCAGGUUUUGGAAACCUCCCCGUGCAGGGGAGGUGCUGCCAAAAUUUCGACUUGACACUACAAUGUUCCUUUUCUUGCAGGAGAGGCUACGUUACCGUCCUCGACUCGUCACUUUGCAGGAUAGCAAGGUGAGGCAUCCUACACCUCUCUUUCCGUAUGAUGUUUGUAUAUCACAUAACCUAUCUAGGGGUCUCCCAUUCGAAAGAGAUACGGUUGGAAAUAUGCAGAUCUUUGCAUAUCUAUAAUCGUAUCUGUUUUGAAUUGUCCACAUUUUUUGGACAGCCCAAGGAUGUGUAGGUGCGGUUAGUUUCCAUGCUCUACUCCGAUCCGUGAUAGAAUUUCUACAGCACCUCCCUGUUGUUCUCCGGAUACACAAUCUCCAAGCCUGGACGUGUAUUUAGAGAACAGUGGGGAGGUGCUGCCGAAAUUCUAUCUCGGAUCGGAGUAGAGCAUGGAAACUAACUGCACGUACACAUCCUCAGGUGGGAUUAGGACCUAUCUUCACCUAUUAGAUAGUAUAGGAACAUGUAGAUGCAAUGUGAUUUUUUAUAUUACUCGCUGAUAUGCUAGAGGAUGGAUGACCGUGAGUGGAUGCACACGGGCCACUCUAGUCAGGCUUCAUUGACCGAUGAAUGGAUUGACAACACCGAUGCAUUCUUGGAAUGGGCGUUUGCUAGGGUCAAAGGAGCUAGUGUCACUUGGUGUCCGUGCAGCAGAUGUGGAAACAUGCAUCAGCAAACCAAGUUGGUCAUGGGUAAACAUCUUGUUAAGAAUAGAUUUAUGGCAGACUAUACCAGGUGGAUCUACCAUGGUGAAACCGAUCGUGGGAGAGAAGAGGUCUUGAGACAAUGCAUCAAGGAAUAUGAUGAUGAUGCCGGGGUGGGAGACAUGUUAAAUGACUAUCAUGAAACACGUAGGGAGGAGGAGCCAGAGACUACCGCAAAGGCGUAUUACGACAUGUUGUUUGCGGCACAACAACUCCUUCACGGGCAUACCAAGGUUUCUCAAUUGGAUGCCAUUGCAUGCCUAAUGGCUGUGAAGUCCCAGUUUAGCUUGAGUCGAGACGCCUUCGAUGUUAUGCUGACAGUUUUUGGCAGCCUGCUCCCGGAGGGUCACAUCUUGUCAAAGAGCAUGUAUGAGACACAGAAACUCCUUCGUGCACUUAAGAUGCCAUACAAGCAGAUACAUGCUUGCCCGAAGGGAUGCAUCUUAUUUAGGAAAGAGUAUGUGGAAGCAAAGUACUGUGUGAAGUGCAAAUCAUCUAGGUUCCUGAAGGUAGACUCUGGUGAUGGUCAGAAGAAGCAGCUCGCAAUCCCUGUGAAGAAUCCGCGAAACAGAUGACCUGGCACAAAAACGGACGUCGAUACAAUCCUGAGAAGCUGGUACACCCAUCCAAUGGUGAAGCCUGGAUAAGGUUUGAUGCGAUUUAUCGUGAGAAAGCUCUAGAGGCCUGUAAUGUACGUGUUGCGCUAGCAACAGAUGGGUUCAAUCCUUAUGGAAUGGCGGCUGCCUCGUACACCUGUUGGCCCAUGUUCAUUAUCCCCCUCAAUCUCCCCCCUGGCAUCCUCUUUCAAUGACAGAACAUAUUUUUGUCGUUUAUAAUUCCAGAACACCCAUGGAAUAAUAUGAGUGUGUACAUGGAGCCUCUGAUUGAUGAUUUGGUCCGUGCUUGGGAGGAAGGGGUAUGGACAUACGACCGAGCUACAAAGACAAACUUCAAGAUGCAUGUUUGGUACCAGUACUCCCUGCAUGACUUGCCGGCAUAUGGGAUUUUCUGCGGCUGGUGUGUGCACGGGUAGUUCCCAUGCCCAGUAUGCAAGGCUUCUUUGAAGUUCAUUUGGUUGACGAAGGGUGGAAAGUAUUCUUCAUUCGACAAACAUCGAAAACUCCUCCCUCCUAACCAUCCAUUCAGACGAGACAUCAAGAACUUUACGAAAGAUGUUGUAGUUAAAGACCCCGCACCGUAGAUGAUGACAGGGGCCGCAGUUCAUGCUCAAUUAGAUGCUCUCGAGGUCAAUAAUGAAGAAGGUGGUUUUGUGGAAUAAUGCGAGCAACAUGCCUGGACUCAGAAGUCGUGCUUGUGAAUCCUCCCCUAUUUUGAUAACCUUCUUCUUCCACAUAAUAUUGAUGUAAUGUACACCGAAAAGAAUAUCGCCGAGGCAAUUUUUGGUACAAUCAUGGACAUUCCUGAUAAGACAAAGCAUAACGUUAAGGCUAGAGUGGAUCAAGCGAGGUUAUGCAACAGGCCAAAGCUAGACAUGGCGCCUCCAAGAGCUGGCAAGUCGUGGAGAAAGCCUAUAGCCGAUUUUGUUCUGACGAGGGCCCAAAGGAGGGAGGUACUAGAAUGGUUCCAAACGUUAAUGUUCCCUGGUGGGCAUGCAGCGAAUCUGAAGAGGGGAGUGAAUUUAGCUACUAGGCAGAUCAACAGGCUCAAGAGUCAUCAUUACCAUAUAUGGCUUGAGCGCCUACUUCCAGUGAUGGUUCGAGGCUAUGUCCCUGAGCAUGUCUGGCAGGUGUUAGCGGAGUUGAGCAAUUUCUUCUGCCAGUUUUGUGCCAAGGAGUUAUCUCGUACCAUGGUUGCAGAAAUGGAAAGAAUGGCGUCUGUGUUGCUCUGUAAGUUGGAGAAAAUCUUUCCACCCGGCUUCUUCAAUCUGAUGCAGCAUAUGAUUCUGCACCUCCCAUAUGAAGCACAAAUGGGGGGGCCUAUGCAGGGUUGUUGGUGGUAUUCAAUUGAGAGAUGUCAAAAGGUUCUUCGAACUAAAUGUAAAAAUAAAUGCAAAAUUGAAGCAUCCAUUGCAGAGGCAUACAUUCCGGAGGAGGUGUUAAACUUCACAAUAAAAUACUAUGCUGACAACCUUCCUAGUGUGCAUAAUCCACCCUCUUGUUACAAUGCCGGCGAAGAUGAAUCAAGCCUUAGCAUUUUCUAAGGGCAACUCAGAAGUGCAAGUGGUGCGACCCACAAGACCUUGAAACAUGAAGAGUGGCGCAUUAUCAUGCUGUAUGUAUUGACCAACCUAUCCAAAGUGGAGCAUUACAUGUUGUAAGUUCUGAACAAUCUUUUUCUUAAGUAGUCGCUAUUCUGUGUCCAACUCCCAUGUUUCUCGUUGGUACAGGAAAUUUCAUCGUCAAUUCUGGCGUAAAUCAAGGGAACCUACCCCGUAUGAAGCUGAGACCAUUCUUAUAGAGGGUGCGGGAAAUGGAAUGCCCAAUUUCAUUUCUUGGUUCAAACAGAAGGUAAAAUCCAAAUUAGCUUGUACUUAGUUUGAUAUUACAAGUUGCUCGUACAUGCGAAUAAUAUAACAAACCACCCUGCUUGAACUUGCAGGGCCAAACCGAUGCUUCUAUGAGUGUCGAGUUGAGAUAGGUUGUCGAUGGCUAUGCCUAUAGGGUCAGGUCGUUUACCGGUUAUGACGUGAAUGGAUAUCGCUUUCACACAAGAAGCCACGAGCAGAGUCGGCUCAAUCGAAGAACCACAAAUACUGGAGUUUUUACGCCAGGCCUUGAUGGGGUCGAGUACUACGGAAGAGGCUUCUUAUUAUCAUUCCACAUACUGCACAAUGUUAAAGAAAAAUGAGAAAGCAUAACAAGCCGAUACAGAGUGAUUGGAUUUACUUGAGGAGAAGCUUGAAGAAACAUCCAGCAACAACAGAAAAGUCAAAGUAUUGAGCCCAUGGAGCUAUAAAGCAGAUUGUAUCGGCUGAACAAAGAUUCAGGACAUUGGACUUACAAAAGUUCAAAGCAUGACAUUCAUACUCCGAACUCGGGGGCCUUUGUUUUAGCCGGUGAAAUCCCUCGUUUCGCAUUGUUCAUCAAGUCCACGUGCCCAUGCAGCAUAGCAUUUUAUUAUGAUACGUUGAGUUAUGUCACAUUGUUACUUUAAGUUAUUUUUAAGUAUUAGUUGUAGACAAUUUAGUUGAAAAUUUAAGUGGUUAUUUUAAAUUAUUUUUAUAAUAUGAUAAGUGGGUAAUUUAGAUGAAGAUUAGGGGGUUACUUUAGCUUAUUUUAUAUAAUGGCUGAGGUGGGUAAUUCAGAUAUAGAUUUAGGGGUUACUUUAGACUAUUUUUUUUAGAAAAUAUAAUAGAUCCAAUGGCUACGAUGAUUUGAGUCUAUUGAUUGAUGUCUAGAUGUUUUGCUUGUUUGUGAGAAUUUUAAAUUUUUUUUCUAGAGUGCUCACCUAGUAGCCACUGCUAGUGCACGUGCAACACGAGUGCCGGCCCAUCUGGCACUAAGACCUCGUAAAGCUAUGCGUUUGUCAAUGCAGUUUCUUAGAAGGCAAUAGAUCCAACCAAGCGACUAAAUCAUUUGUCCUUACCAAUGAUGUGCAUUAUGUUUUUUAUAUGAAGGACAUGUCUAGCAAACCUAAGAUUUCAGAAGAAAAAGAAAAAUCAUAGGAGCCAAAGCGCCACAUAGUUCUUCCACGUAAAAAUAAAUCAUCCACUGGGCCAUCACAUAGUAGCGAUCCAAAACGUCCAUAUUAAGACUUUUUGAUAGCAGAAAAAAUAUGAAAUGUCUAAUAUUUGUAGUAUUAAAAGGAAAAAUAAUAUAUUCGCUUGACACCGGUGCGUAGUCAGACUUAAUGCAUGAUGCCUGAGCAUCCACUGGGCCUAUGAUGUGCAGCAGUGGCUCAGAUGGCUGACCAGAAAAGUACACUUAAUUUCAAUGGUACCGACAAGACAAACCACCGUUGCUACUACUUUGUACUACUUGAUACAUAUCUCCACCAAAAGCGAGGCACCCCUUUCCUCUCACGCUCCCUGAAUCAUGAGUUUAUCUCUAAUAGGUCAAACAAACCUUGAUGAUCACUUGUUAAAAUGUCAUCAGUAUCGGUUAUCAUACCAACAUAAUCAAGCCGGCGCGUAUAAUAAGCACCAGAGCCGGCAUUUGUACAAACUGGUAUGGAUAGUAAAAACUCAAAUUUAUAAAUAAAUGAAGAUAUUCAAAGCCCUCGCUCUCUUUUUUCAUUAAUUUUGCGGAAUUCCCAGAUUUGCAUGAAAAAGGGAUGAACCAUUAUUGGACGAACUGGCACACUUGUUUCUACCCGCUCUCCGGACAGCCCACAACCGCCCCCCGGUGUGAGUGUCCAAGUCUUGGAUCGUUGCCCGCGUUAAGCUGUGCCACCGCACUGCACCACAGCGACAAAAGCCACACCACCGGCAGCAUGUGCCAGUGGGGAGCGCUUAUGCUGGCCAUAGUGUCCCCGUAGGACCGCCGCGCGAGCCUGUGAGCCACCGACCGCCGUGCCCCCAAGGGCCAUCACCGCGCCACCCGAGGAUGCUCUCUACCCAGUGCUACGCGCCUCUGCCGGCUGCCUGCACCUGGGCCGCCACCGGUCGCCUGCACAGCCACGUGUUGCAGCCGCCCCCCUGCGCCGAGCCACCCCAUUUCGCGUCGGAAGAACCACCUGAGUCUCGCACAUCGAGGUCUUGCCGGUGAUGACCAUGGCCUCCAGGAUCAAGUGCUACACAGUAUUAGGCCUUGUCAAGUUUUCUAUUCAUUCGAGAUCAAAUGAAAAAGUUGGUACUCAAGACAUACAUCCAUUAAUCUAGUCGUGCUAAUCCUUACCACAAAAUAAAAACUAGCAUGUGUCGUGUGUUUGUGACCCUAAACAAUCACAAAUGAAUAACUUAUCAACUUCAAAAUUUAGCCGGUGAAAUCUCAUAAAAGAGAGAUAAGUAAAAUAGAGGUAGCGCAUGCAGAGAGGGCAGGCCAGCACGUGCAUGCAAAGGUGAUUAGAAUAAAAAAAAAAAGAGGAAGUUAAUGCGUGGGAAGGAAGUCCAUAGUCACGCUAAUCACGCAUGCGGAUUGGAAGGAUUGGAGGGAGCUUCGUUAGAAAUGAUUGUACAUAUGAGAAAUUAGAAUCCAUGUAUGUUAAUAUUUCCUUUUUUAGUGUUAGGAAAGUUUUGUACGGCUCAUUGUCGUAGCUAAUCAGGAGUGUAGGCAACCUCAAGGAUAUAAAUAUGUGCACCCGAGGCUUGCAAGAUUUUAUCUCUCGAUUAAUCAAAACAAUUUUUCGGAUCCACACUGCCAAACUCUUAAGAGUAGGAGUAAUGUAGCUUUUCGACGAGUUUCUUCUUGCGCGCAGGGCUACAUCAGCUUCGAUAUCGGACGAACUUGUAAGUACCAUCACCCGAUCAUUACGCUAGUUAUCGAGUUAUCUUAGAUUGUAAAUAAAACUUUCUAGGUUUUAUCCAAUAUUCCAUUUGUCUUCGACGUUGCUCACAGUUAUUUAACUGCUUAAUUAAAUCUGCUUAGGUUCUUCUCAUCGGCUUCCUAGUCUUGUUUAAACGUUCACAAUUUAUCUGAUCGGAUCGGCUAGUUCGACCUUGCAUGCUGUUAUCGCUUUAUCUAUACUAGGUCCGAUAGAUCUUUACCCCUUCCCCUCGUAUUGCUAGCAGUUGGAUCCCUAACGUUAGAACGACACUGUUGAGAGCCGAUGCAUCGAUUGAGUAUCAUCCAUAUCUCUAUAAUGUAUCGUGGUUAAUGGCAAUUUAAUGAAAUUAUAAAGGAUAACAACGAUCGUGCUUUCGGCGUUCCAAAAAUCAAUCAAGAAUUCAUCAUGGUUGUGCAGUGUAUGGAAACCUUAUGGGAAUAGUUAGAUGGGAAAUGCUGUAUUAUGUAAUAAUAAAUCCAGGUACAUCACAAAUCAGGAUGGAUGGAUGUCUAAUACUGUUGAAAGAGAUUGGAAUAAAGCAGACUCAUCUCAGACUAUGCACCAUGUCUGAGUGACCCACCUCACCUUGCCAGGUCACUGGUCUUGCCCUCGUGGUUCACCCGCAUCAAGCCAGCACGCAAGCUAUGAUGUUGCCACCAGUGGUCAGUACACAAAUCUAGCUACCAGUCGGAUCCAAGGGCAGGCAUGCAUUUGUAUUGUGGUUGUGCUUGAACAUGGAGAUGUCUUGUGAUUGUCAGGCACCAUCCAUCCUCUCUCAGUUUCACUCCUCACACACGGAUAGCACACACCAGGGACACGACACCAUGCAUGCCGAUUUCAUAUUGUUAAUAUUUAUUUUUUUAAUGGUUGUUGAAACUAUAUAGUUAGUCCAAUCUCACGUUUCCGAUUAUAAAAAUUAACAUAAAGAGAUCGGAAGGAAGAGCCGGCAUAAUGAAGCCAACACAUAUAAUAAGCACCAGAGCCGGCAUUUAUACAAACCGGUACGGAUAGUAAAAACCAGAAUUUAUAAAUAAAAAAAUAAUUUGCAUAUCUAGAGAGAUAUCUCAUCAAAUCGGUGAGUUAUAUCCGGUUAAUUUAAACGAGGAUAAAAAUAAGUGUAUUUUCCACUCAUUAUGUUGGCUUUUCGUAGCUGUACCGCCUUUAGUGUGCUGUAUUCCCCUAACACCAAGUCUCCGAGGUCCGAGAAAAUAAGGAAAGUGAUAGCAGCCCAGGUAUCGACCAAGUUUCUUUCCCACUUUGGCUUUCCUACUAUGAUUCGAAAUCCUCUUUCGCAUGACAAUCUUAAUUAUCUCCCACAGUCCAAAGCUCAAAAAACAUCAAAAAUCCGCCGAGAAUAAAUUAAGUAAAAAACAUGCACACAUAGAUAAUAAUAAUAAUCAUGUUUCAUUAAAAUUGCUAAGGCUAGAGACAAUACAUAAACAUAUUAGACUGCUCGUGACACAUAUCACGGUGGUGUCUGUGUCCUUAUUACAAGCAGCGAGAGGAAUUAAAUAUGCUUGUCACCACACACACGCGCACACAUAUGCACAGCAUACAUAUAGUUGAGACCAACAGAUGGAUUAACUAGAGGUCACCCCAUAUGGUGAACAAUUUAUUGGAGAUAAACAUUAACAUAACUUGGCCAUAGCUUGAAGCAUAGUAACAUAUGCCUAUGAAUGGCAUUCAUGCUAUGUUUUAGGCUUGUCCUUAGCAUCUUCCAUUUAGCAAGCACUGCCGUUUCUUCCAUCUUAGCAGCAACUGUCAGAUUGAGAUAUGGAAAUCCCAUUAGCGCAUGAGUUAAUUUUGCAGUGGAAAUAGAGUACAAGAUGUCUUCAUGAUGUAAGUAAUAUGCCUGAUGUUGUGAGAUGGGAAGUGAAGUCAAUAAAUUACAUUAACCAAAAUGCAUGGAAGGCCACACAUACGUAUUAGUCCACGAUAUGCUACAAAGCUUGUAUGUACAUAUACAAAUUAAAUGUAUUGAAUAGAGCGAGUUUAUUGAAUUUACCAGAAUCGGACAGAACACAUGGGAAACAACAAGUGUUCUUGCAGAGUGUGUCGGAGCCACCCGCAGUAAUACAAGCAAAACAACAUGCUUUUGCCCGAGCGGAUACGCAGCAGCUGCACUGUGCCGCGGUGGCUGGGUUAACAUUGAGGCUCAAGAUGACCAGGCACAUGAUCACCAUCAAAGCGAUAGUCCUCUUUCCCUCCAUUGCCUCCUUUUGCUGCUACCUUCCUUGGUUACCUAGCUAAGUUUAUUGGUUUUGUGUUGAGAGGUGAUUCUUGAAU
rnacentral:lncRNA from 1 species